UGACUGAAUCCUGUACAUGCAAGUUAGACACGUUUAACUGACAGUCAUCCGGUUAUAAAUGCGCCAAAAUGAUGUAUUUGGAGAGAAAAGUAAGGAAAAUGAUCGAGGGAAAGAAAUCAAAAAGAAAACAUUUAAAAUUAAUAAAGUGGCUUCAUAAGAAGAAACUGUUGCAGAAAAAGGUGAAAUGCAGUCUCUGUCACCACAGAAUGAAGCUGAAACAGAGCAACUGCUCAGAUUGCUAUGAAUGGAGGUGUCAACGAGCUAUCCACAGAGGAAGGCAAAUGAAGAGAUCUGUCAGGCACAACUCUGUGUUUAGUCAUUCCAAAGUGUCUCUCUUCAAAUGGAUGGAAUUUGUGUACAGGUUUUCUCAAGGUCUGCAUUUGCGCCAAAUUGACAUGAUAGCUGAUGAAAUAGCAGGAAGUUCAGCAACUCUGUCAAAAAUGGCCAAAAAGGUGAGAGAAGCUUGCGUGGUGUCAAUGGAAAGACUCAGAAGAAGAAAAGGACAGCGUAUUGGAGGACGCAGGCAGUUCAUUGUUAUAGACGAGAGUCACUUCAGACAUAAA